CAGCAGCCGCGGGAAUACGUAGGUGGCAAGCGUUGUCCGGAAUUAUUGGGCGUAAAGGGCUCGCAGGCGGUUUCUUAAGUCUGAUGUGAAAGCCCCCGGCUCAACCGGGGAGGGUCAUUGGAAACUGGGAGACUUGAGUGCAGAAGAGGAGAGUGGAAUUCCACGUGUAGCGGUGAAAUGCGUAGAGAUGUGGAGGAACACCAGUGGCGAAGGCGACUCUCUGGUCUGUAACUGACGCUGAGGAGCGAAAGCGUGGGGAGCGAACAGGAUUAGAGACCCCCGUAGUCCCUGUCUCUUAUAC
rnacentral:rRNA from 1 species